AGUGGUUUCAUUUUUGGAAACAUUGAGAAUGUUACCUUCAGACUCCAACGGGAGGCAGGGCAGAGGGAGGCACAGAAGCCUCGCGGGGGCGGAGCCACGGAGACACAGCCUAUCACCUGCAGCGGGUCAGAGAGCAGCUGAAGAACGUCUUCCCCACGGACACUCACAAGAACGGUGAGGUGAGGAGAGUUCUGGGUUCACAGCCGUUCUAGAACUUUCUCUCAAGAAUGUUCAGCGCAACAGCUUCCCUGGGUGCAGGUCCUCUGCUUGGACACUAGGUGGUGCUGUUGUUUCAGAAGGCAGAGCUGAUAUCAGAGCGCACAUCAGAAGAAGUCCCUUCCUCCACACUGGGAUCUGGACGGCUGUAGUUGUUCGGUCCGUCAGUCGAUGAAGGACUGAUCUCUGUGAGUCGACAGCAUGGCACUAAUCCCUGAGCUUAUUCCUUGCACUUCGUCUUGGAUGCAAUAAUACCAAUUUGCACUGACUGUACAUUUUGAUAUCCUGCCAAUAUAAAUGCAUUCUCACUCAGGUAUACAGCACCUGUCACGUGCGAACGGCGAUAUUCGUUGGGCUAUUAUUGUUAUAAAAUUGUUUUGGCAUUUCUGUGUCCAUGACUCUUUGUGGCAGGAAUACGUUGCAUUCAGUUCUGCAUUUGUGAUAUUUUACUUUGAAUAAA